AUCGCUUCUCGGCCUUUUGGCUAAGAUCAAGUGUAGUAUAAAUUCAUUUCCACUGACAAAUAUUAGAUGAGAUGACUGAACUUCUCAAAACCAAAAGCUGUUUUUAUCAAUUUAAUGCUUUGGCAGAACCAAAGUUGACACUCU
rnacentral:snRNA from 1 species